UCGAGGGGCAGCACGGUGUAGCGAUACACUGGUGGCGACCGGCGCACGGGUGAGUAACACGUGUGCAACCAACCCCGUACCGGGAGAUAACCCGCGGAAACGUGGACUAACAUCCCAUGAUACUCGAGAGCCGCAUGGCUCUAGAUUUAAAAUUCCGGUGGUACGGGACGGGCACGCGCGACAUUAGGUAGUUGGCGGGGUAAGGGCCCACCAAGCCGACGAUGUCUAGGGGUUCUGAGAGGAAGGUCCCCCACACUGGAACUGAGACACGGUCCAGACUCCUACGGGAGGCAGCAGUGAGGAAUAUUGGUCAAUGGGCGAGAGCCUGAACCAGCCAAGUCGCGUGAGGGACGAAUGGUCUAUGGCCUGUAAACCUCUUUUGUCAAGGAAGAAUAAAUCGCACGGGUGCGAUCUUGCCAGUACUUGACGAAUAAGCAUCGGCUAACUCCGUGCCAGCAGCCGCGGUAAUACGGGGGAUGCGAGCGUUAUCCGGAUUUAUUGGGUUUAAAGGGCGCGUAGGCGGGACGUCAAGUCAGCGGUAAAAGACUGCAGCUAAACUGUAGCACGCCGUUGAAACUGGCGACCUGGAGACGAGACGAGGGAGGCGGAACAAGUGAAGUAGCGGUGAAAUGCAUAGAUAUCACUUGG
rnacentral:rRNA from 1 species